rnacentral:rRNA from 1 species
AAGGAAUAUUGGACAAUGCCCGCAAGGGUGAUCCAGCCAUGCCGCGUGCAGGAAGACGGCCCUAUGGGUUGUAAACUGCUUUUACACCGGAGAAAACCUCCCCUCGUGAGGGGAGCUGAUAGUAUGGUGAGAAUAAGCAUCGGCUAACUUCGUGCCAGCAGCCGCGGUAAGACGAAGGAUGCAAGCGUUAUCCGGAUUCAUUGGGUUUAAAGGGAGCGUAGGUGGCCUUAUAAGUCAGUGGUGAAAUCUCUGGGCUUAACCCAGAAAUUGCCAUUGAUACUGUAGGGCUUGAGUACAGUUGCUGUGGGCGGAAUAUGACAUGUAGUGGUGAAAUACAUAGAGAUGUCAUAGAACACCGAUUGCGAAGGCAGCUCACAAAACUGUAACUGACACUGAGGCUCGAAAGUGCGGGGAUCAAAC